rnacentral:rRNA from 1 species
UGCGUAGGCGGCGCGCUAAGUCAGUGGUGAAAGCCUCCCGCUCAACGGGAGAAAUGCCAUUGAUACUGGCGUGCUUGAGUACGGACGAGGUAGGCGGAAUUUAUGGUGUAGCGGUGAAAUGCAUAGAUACCAUAAAGAACACCGAUAGCGUAGGCAGCUUACUAGACCGUAACUGACGCUGAGGCACGAAAGCAUGGGUAGCAAACAGGAUUAGAUACCCUGGUAGUCC